rnacentral:rRNA from 1 species
UACGUAGGGUGCGAGCGUUGUCCGGAAUUACUGGGCGUAAAGAGCUCGUAGGCGGUUUGUCGCGUCUGCCGUGAAAGUCCGGGGCUCAACUCCGGAUCUGCGGUGGGUACGGGCAGACUAGAGUGAUGUAGGGGAGACUGGAAUUCCUGGGUGUAGCGGUGAAAUGCGCAGAUAAUCAGGAGGAACACCGAUGGCGAAGGCAGGGUCUCUGGGCAUUAACUGACGCUGAGGAGCGAAAGCAUGGGGAGCGAACAGGA